rnacentral:lncRNA from 1 species
AUUUUACCGAACCAAACAAAUAUGAAUAUGUUUUCCUUUCAACCAAACAAAUGUUAAUAAAAAAAUAUUUUUUGUAAAAAAUCAAACAUUACAAACCGUAAAUUUUUUUAUUAAAUUUUUUUUUAUAGAAAAUUAUUUUUUAUAAUUUUACAUACAACCAAAUACUAUUAGAAAAUUAAAAAAAUGCCUACGACUAAAAAGUAGGGAAAAAUUGAAGGGGUCAUUCCUUAAUGGCCCAAAAUGUUUAAGUCCGGUCCAAUCACACACACAGCCUAAGAUCAUCAGGCGAUAUGAGACUUGUCAUGUGAGACUUGUCUUACUAGCUAACUUAGCCUGUCAAUCACCGGUCCUGACUUGGUCAAGACCUAUCUCAAACUUCUGGCUAAUGAACUGAUUCUGAUACCAAAUGUAACCACCCAACCCACUAACAACAAUAACUCGGUGGGCUCAAACACCGGUUCAAAAUACUUAAGCCUAAUUAUUAUUAUCAGUGUCUAAGUCUCAUAUAUACUCAAUUAUAUUUUUAUUUCUAUCUAAUGUGAGAUUAUUAGAGCGUGAUAGA